rnacentral:rRNA from 1 species
UACGUAGGGGGCUAGCGUUGUCCGGAAUUAUUGGGCGUAAAGCGCGCGCAGGCGGUCCUUUAAGUCUGAUGUGAAAGCCCACGGCUCAACCGUGGAGGGUCAUUGGAAACUGGGGGACUUGAGUACAGAAGAGAAGAGUGGAAUUCCACGUGUAGCGGUGAAAUGCGUAGAGAUGUGGAGGAACACCGGUGGCGAAGGCGGCAUCCUGGACCGAUAUUGACGCUGAUGCGCGAAAGCCAGGGGAGCAAACGGG